UACGUAGGGGGCUAGCGUUGUCCGGAAUCAUUGGGCGUAAAGGGAGCGUAGGCGGUCUGCUAAGUUGGAUGUGAAAACUCUGGGCUUAACCCAGAGCCUGCAUUCAAUACUGACAGGCUAGAGUUCUGGAGGGGAUAGCGGAAUUCCUGGUGUAGCGGUGAAAUGCGUAGAUAUCAGGAGGAACACCGGUGGCGAAGGCGGCUAUCUGAACAGAGUCUGACGCUGAGGCGCGAAAGCUAGGGGAGCAAACAGG
rnacentral:rRNA from 1 species